rnacentral:lncRNA from 1 species
GUGAAACCAUUUUUUUGCUCGAGUGCUUUGAAAUUUUGCUUAAUAGUGUGAGGUUGAUGUGGAUGGAAUAAUGAGUUUUAUAGGGACUUUCUUGAUGUAAAACUAUACAUUUUUUUGUUUGUUUAAUGUGGUAUUUCCAUUUUUAUAUAAUUUACUACCAUUUAAAGAUAAAAGUACAUUUUAAGAUAGAUGCUUAAAUCUUAAUGUACUUUUUCCAUUUUUUAAAAUGUUUAUUUCCAUUUCUUAUAUUUUUAUUUACGUAAUAUCUAAAUUUUAUAUUUUUAAAUAGAUAUUUAAAUAUUAAUGCACUUUUUCCAUUUUUUAAAUUGUGUAUUUACUUAUAUUAUAUAUUUUACAUUUUAAGAUAGAUGUUUAAUACUUGAUGAACUUUUUUCAUUUUUAAAAAAAUAGUGUAUUUACUUAUUAUUACAUAUAUAAUUCAUAUAUUAUAUAUUUAC